AUGAGAAGUGCCCUUGCACCGAGCUCGACCUGCCGGGCUGCCCUCGCUUGCACCAGCCCCGGACUCGGCCCUGGAGGGGAAGCGAAGCAGGGUUUAGGGUCUCCGCGACCUGGCUCUGUUUUAGGGUGUCCGGGGUGCUGGGGACAGGCUGAUCCUCCCRUCCGUGCUGGGCUCCAUCCCCGUCUCUCGGCUGCCCGGAGAUGGGGCGACGCGCAGCCACGGGGCUGUGCGGCCUCGGCGACGGGUGCUCGGCACCCAGGGCCUCUCGGAGAGCGGGGAUGGGAAGGUCCCGUUUCCCAYCACGUUGCUGACCCCAUCCAGACCCGCGUUCUCCAUUCCGGCAGUCGGACGGAGAGAACUGCCCGGAGAUGGAUCAGCCCUGAACUGCCCUUUCCCCAGAUCCGGGUUCCAGCAACCAACCGGCCCCAGCUGAGACUCGCUGAACUCCCCUGGGAGGGGAAACUGAGGCAGCGACGAGCACGGGACGCCCCUGCCCGGGGCUCGGCGGCUCCCCCCGCCCCGCAGCGCUUCCACGCCUGCUCUCACACCGCGGCGCGGUGCCAGGCUCCGGGGAGCCUCGCUGCAAAUGAGCCGUGCCGCAGCCRCAGAUGGCGCGUGGCAGUAUUUAGCGACAGCGCGUCGUCCGCGGCGGAGACGGCCCGCGACCGCCUCCGCGCCGCUGGCAGCACCCAGCCCCGGCUGCCUGCCCGAUGCYGCCUGCCCGAUGUCACCCCUGGGGCUCCCGGUGGCGAAUUGCUGGGGACACGGAGGCUGCGGGGACGCCUGGGACCCCCGCGGGACCCUGCUCGAAUGGGAUGAGCCUCCGCUCCCUUCCCUCUGCGAUAUCAUCCGGCAGCCUCAAGAGCCGGCGCAGAGCUGUUCACGCCUGAAAAUCAAGGUGUCGGCGGCUGCGUUUCGGUUCCGGAGCCUCUUGGCGUGGCUGGAUGGUGUUUGCAAGCGGUUCUUUUUGCUGUCCUGGAGCGAGCCCUGCCUCUCCCUCCCCGGCGCAGACGUCUGCCUGCAAUCCCCAGCCUCCCGGUGCCAGGGCUGGGCACGCGCUCGCCGCCCGGGACAACGGCGGGUGCUCCCAAAGCUCCCGACGGCUGCGUGGGGCAGGGCGAGGGCGGCUGCUCAGUCCUGGCCGGUCCUGCCGUGCCCCGAGCCCUGGSUUCCCCCCGUCCGGCACCCCCGAUGCACCCCAGCCCCGGGUSCCCCCGGCCGGGC
rnacentral:lncRNA from 1 species